GCUCAUGGAAAUCACCCCAGUUGGCAAACCCUCUUGCCUGGGAGGCCAACAUAAUAGGCACUGCCUUGACUGUCUCCAAGAAGAAAGGUGAUCCAAUCUCAACAGGCAUGCUUUCCUAAAACUGGACAAGAAGAAUAAAUGGUUUUUGCUGGACAGGAAGAAUUACAGCUGCCUGCUGAAGAUGAAGUCUUACUACAGAAAUUAAGAGAGGAAUCAAGAGCUGUCUUUCUACAAAGAAAAAGCAGAGAACUGUUAGAUAAUGAAGAAUUACAGAACUUAUGGUUUUUGCUGGACAAACACCAGACACCACCUAUGAUUGGAGAGGAAGCGAUGAUCAAUUACGAAAACUUUUUGAAGGUUGGUGAAAAGGCUGGAGCAAAGUGCAAGCAAUUUUUCACAGCAAAAGUCUUUGCUAAACUCCUUCAUACAGAUUCAUAUGGAAGAAUUUCCAUCAUGCAGUUCUUUAAUUAUGUCAUGAGAAAAG
rnacentral:lncRNA from 1 species